CGGUGAAACGCGGUAGGAGAUCAUUUAGUAUCGUCAAAAAGACAGCGAGGUGGGGUGCUUCGCCGCCAAGCACGACAGCCGCGCGAAUCCCAUACACCAUUCCGCGCACUGGGACAAAAAAAUACAGAAGAAUAACUGCGGAAGAGAUAACAAGGACAGGAGGCGCUCGGGUGUCUGUCGCGCACCUUAACUCACGCAGCACCGGCGGCACGUCGAGUGGCUGUGAUUUUUCUCAUCAAUCUCCUCUGCAUCUCCUCUUGUUCAUUUUUUUGUACGUCGUAUUGCUAGUUGUGCUCUUCACUUCGAAAUACAUUUUUGAACUCCGCUGCCUCUUUCCCCCCUCAGUUUGUGACUUUGCCUUCUCCUUAGUGCCACGUGUGCCUCACUGUGCGAGCUCGCGAGGAGCGAUCCGCUCCGCCUUCCCCAUGAACGCGAACUCCCCUCGACGUACACCGAUACCCAAACGUCUGCUCAAGGACUAAAUCGGAUGCUAACGGCAGAAAGGCAACCCUUAACACGCAUCAAGCGCUUUUUUUUUGGGGGGGAGCACCUCUCCCCUUGUGCUAGCGUUCUUUUUCGACCUUUUCGUUAUCGAACGUGGGCCGCUGCUUUAGUCCUUCCUUUUUUUCGCUCGUCGCGUGUGUUUCUUGGGCCGUGCAUGUCGCACUAUGCUUAGAGAGUCAGCUUCGAGCUCGCAAGGUGGCGAAGGCGGGGGAGGCGGACUCACGGGCGAGAACGCUUUCAGUCGAUCGGCCUUCUUGCCGGCCUGGGUGCCCCCCGAAGCCUCCACCCUACAUCAGCGAUCGGCAUCGCUCACACCUCAACUGAACUCAACAACUUGCUCGCCCCUGCUGGGCCUUCGCCGCUCAAAUGCGUCUAAGAUGGCCGGGCAUGGUGACGAUGGCUUGCGCGGAGCGGGGGCCAGCGCAUCACCACAGCCGCCUCUGGGGAACCCUCGCUUCGGCUUGUCGCCGCAGAGAGCGUCGACAUCACUGAACAUGCCGUCGCCACCACUCAGCAGUAUGUAUUACUCGCCGCAGGUGCCGCCAGCGCAGCGCUCAGGAUUAUCGAUUACGCCCACCGUUGCCUCGUUCAUGUCGUCUUCCUCUUCCCAUUCCCCUACCGCCGCGCGGGUGCUGAUGAGCGCCGCGGCUUCGCAGUCGCCGUCGCGCCGCCCAGUACGAUUGGCGCUCGGGGCCUUCUGCAUGUUAAAUGCGGUUAUCGCUUUCCUGUUCACGUGGAUGAUGUGCACGCAGCAGAUCGGCUUUGCGCUGACGGCGGCAAAGCGGCGGUGGGACCUCAAGGAGCGAUCUGGCGCGACCUGCACGGCUGGCGUCUAUUACUUAAUCAUCGGGCUUGUGCUGCUUAUAGACCGACUAAGCUCGACUGUUGCCGUGGUUGCUCAACUAGGCGUACGGCUCGUGAGGGCCGGCUUUCCGUCGAUUCUUCGCUGGUUGAUGUGGUGCGUUAGUAGAAUAGCAGCGUCGAGGGUUUGUGUUCCACUGCUGCGCCGCUUAGCCCCACACGCCGCCAUCGCCUCGUCUGAGAAUUACCGGGUGCUAAUGCGAAGCAAGUCGGCGCGGCCUCUUCGGUCUUCUAGUGCAGCCGUUCCUGCUGUUGGUGCGCCGACGGCGCUCUCGGGCCAUGGGCUACUGCCACGCUUUUCAUGCAGCCAGAUGGGCUCCUCGUUUCAGUGUUCGCAGACGAACUCGAUGCGCGAAUCCAUGGCCGAUUCGGAGGUGGAUAGGCGACCGUGCUCCGCCACCGCUGCAUCACUGAGUAUUCGGCGACGCGGUGGCUGACAUUGUCGAUGCAUGGCCCGUGUAGCGGCGUGAUCGUCCCUGCUGUAAGCUGCCCCGACGGCGCUGACUUUGCAGCAAUGUGAUCAUGCUCUCCUCUGGUGCAUCUCCUCGUGCCACGGCGUGGGGCGACUUUGUGUUGUUUUGCUUCGUUUCCGUUCUCUUUGUUGCUCACAUCCACCUAACAGUAGCGGCCGCUCUCUUGUACAUGCCUUGCUUCGUCUUUGUGUGUUCCUUUGAUGUAUGCGUGUGGAUGUAUGUUUCUGACGCAUCACCAGUGCGUCUUCCUCUCCCCGUGACAGAGUCUCGUGCGAGGGCCCGAGCUCGAGCGUUGCCUGCUCUCGCCUCCUCCCCCUCUUCGUCCAUCAUACAUAGUCGCGCAUUGCCUUUGGGCGAUUUC
rnacentral:misc_RNA from 1 species